AAGAUAGUAUUAGAACAGAUUAAAUCAUGACGAUAAAUGGAGCCUCAAAAUCAAACCAACGUGCUGCCAGUUCAACUGGGUUCCAAUUUAGAUCUUUGAAAAAGCACAUCAGAAAUUUUGUUCUUUCACGGAGUCAAGAUACUUUAAAGAGACAUCUUCGAAAAAAGCAAAACACGAUACCAUCCUUUUGAUUCAAAAUGAUCUCCUACAAUGCUAUCAAGGAUGGAAGACAGUGGUAUCGGGAACAGCUGGCAACUAAUGGGUUCACUGCAAGACCUGCAGCUGAUGGAAUGCAAAGAACAUAUUCCACCCCUGGGCAAUGGUCUAUCACUAUUAACAUUAAAGCAAUGCAUUAAUUGAUUGGUACAA